GAUGAACGCUGACAGAAUGCUUAACACAUGCAAGUCUACUUGAAUUUGGGUUUUUUAACUUAGAUUUGGGUGGCGGACGGGUGAGUAACGCGUAAAGAACUUGCCUCACAGCUAGGGACAACAUUUGGAAACGAAUGCUAAUACCUGAUAUUAUGAUUAUAAGGCAUCUUAGAAUUAUGAAAGCUAUAUGCGCUGUGAGAGAGCUUUGCGUCCCAUUAGCUAGUUGGAGAGGUAACGGCUCACCAAGGCGAUGAUGGGUAGCCGGCCUGAGAGGGUGAACGGCCACAAGGGAACUGAGACACGGCCCUUACUCCUACGGGAGGCAGCAGUGGGGAAUAUUGGACAAUGGACCAAGAGUCUGAUCCAGCAAUUCUGUGUGCACGAUGACGUUUUUCGGAAUGUAAAGUGCUUUCAGUUGGGAAGAAAAAAAUGACGGUACCAACAGAAGAAGUGACGGCUAAAUACGUG
rnacentral:rRNA from 1 species